AUGAAGGCAGCAUUAAAAACUAUCCUCCCAGAUACACUACAUAAGUUGUGUCGGUGGCAUAUCGUGAAGAAGUACAAAGACCACCUCGCCUUCCUGUAUAAGGCGCACGAGAAAAUCAAGGAUGACCUCAAUGCGGUGCUGAACCACCCACUAAUGCCGUCAGAAUUUGAACGGGCAUGGAAGGACCUCAUCCAGAAAUACAACUUGCAAAACGACGAAGCGAUGAAUUCGUUGUGGGAUGACAGCCACGAGUGGAUCUCGGCUUACUACAAGGAAAUUUUCUGUGCUCGGAUGACUUCCACGCAGAGAAGCGAGAGCAUGAACCGCAUAUUGAAGAAAAACUUCGUCAAAGAGAAGCAUGAUCUCCAUCUGUUUGCUUAG
rnacentral:rRNA from 1 species